rnacentral:rRNA from 1 species
GAUGAACGCUGGCGGCGUGCCUAAUACAUGCAAGUCGAGCGAACAGACGAGGAGCUUGCUCCUCUGACGUUAGCGGCGGACGGGUGAGUAACACGUGGAUAACCUACCUAUAAGACUGGGAUAACUUCGGGAAACCGGAGCUAAUACCGGAUAAUAUAUUGAACCGCAUGGUUCAAUAGUGAAAGACGGUUUUGCUGUAACUUAUAGAUGGAUCCGCGCCGCAUUAGCUAGUUGGUAAGGUAACGGCUUACCAAGGCAACGAUGCGUAGCCGACCUGAGAGGGUGAUCGGCCACACUAGAACUGAGACACGGUCCAGACUCCUACGGGAAGCAGCAGUAGGGAAUCUUACGCAAUGGACGAAAGCCUGACGGAGCAACGCCGCGUGAGUGAUGAAGGUCUUCGGAUCGUAAAACUCUGUUAUUAGGGAAGAACAAAUGUGUAAGUAACUAUGCACGUCUUGACGGUACCUAAUCAGAAAGCCACGGCUAACUACGUG